CCACGUGCACUCACGAGCACAGAGGCGAUUUCCUUCUCGCAGACUUUAGGCGCCACUGCAGGGUCCGGAAAAGAAAGAGAAACGGCCCAGCGCGGUCGCUUACAUAACCCAGGGCGGGGCUCUGCUCCGCCCCCGAAAGUUUUUGCGACGGAGUUUUCCCUCUUGUUGCCCAGGCUGAAGUGCAAUGGCGCGAUCUCGGCUCACCGCAACCUCCGCCUCCUAGGUUUAAGCGAUUUUUCUGCCUCAGCCUCGCGACUAGCUGGGAUUACAGGCAUUCACCACCAAGCCCGUCUAAUUUUGUAUUUUUAGUAGAAACGGGGUUUCCCCAUGUUGGUCAGGUUGGUCUCGAGCUCCCGACCUCAGGUGAUCGCCCGCCUCGACCUCCCAAAGUGCUGGGAUUACAGGCGUGAGCCACCGUGCCCGGCCUUGCCCGCAUGUGUUUUGAAUUUUGCUGCCCGGAAUUCACUGCGAGGACUGGGAUCACCCGUCACCCCGCCCUGGUCUACGGAAACUGAAAUGUGUUCACUGAUAUAGAAAAGGAAUAACGGCGCUGUGGGCUGGGGAGGGCGGAGCUGCCUUCAGGCUUCUGGUCUCCAGUAGCGAGGCACUCACACCUGCCCGCUAUGAAAAUGCAGACCCGCGGGGCAGGAAUUCCGAGUCCGGGCUGGAGCGCGAUCUGGAAUCCGGCUCUCUUGAAACAGCACCGCGGUGGAUUCGGAGCCGGGUAAGUAGGAAACUGCGCCUCAGCCCCUCCCACGGGCCGCCCACGGAUUCCAGGAUCCGAAAACGCUUCCUGCUGCUCGGUCACCCCAGGAAGGCAGCGUCCGCCUCUGGGCGGUUCUGAUGGAAACCGGCUCCGCCGCCCGCAGGAAAACCCACAACUAAGGGGCCAGGAAAAAGCCUCUUAGGGUCCCGCCACUUCAGUGAGGAUCCUAACUUACACCCUUAGUGUGGCCUCCAUCAAAGACUGGAGUGACCUUCACUGAAAUGAUACAAGGGGCCCAGGGCGCUGUGGCGCUCAGAAUGCGGUGACAGCGCCGCCUCGCGUCCCUUCCCUGACCUGCCCCCGGCGGACGCGGACAAAUUUGUUGGCCUGGAGGCUGGAAUAUACCGGGGAUCAAAUGCAGAGAAUGGAGAAAAGAGGGAAGGAUGGCGGAGCUGGGACAAUUAUAUUCAUCAGAACAGCAUGAUGUCAAGGCCCUCAUCCCCAGAAAGCUUAAGAGACACUGUUUUAUGGAGGAGAGUGAGAUUGGAGGAGCCCCUGACUCCAAGUCUCCUGAUCCUUCCUACACAAAGCGAUGCUGAAAAAAAGUGCAGGACACUCCAUUUCCUCCUGGGACAAGACAGGGAAGCCAGAGCCACCAUGGAUGUCAAAUUCCAGCAAGGAAACACCAGUAUAGCAAAAUCUCCACAUCACAUUUUAAAGCUCACACAAUGGCUCAAAGAGAACCAACAUCAAAAAACUGAAUUCCUAGCUCAGGUGAGAUCACAAAAGUUGCCUGUGAGGCUUCGUGGAAAUUGCAGGUAGAAAGGACAUCUUUAUUUAGAGCUGCAGUCCAGUUGCUCCUGCAUCUUGGAGCCCCUUGAAAGGACCCUCUCCCUUCAACAGUACAUAGGGAGGCCAUUUCUGGGGAGAAAUGUAGACUGUCCUUGGACCCCUGAGGUUUUUACACUUAGACUUGCUGACUCUGUGGACUUUAACUUCAUCAUUAAACAUCUUGAUGUAAUUUGCUUUGACUGUAAGUGCAGAACAGGAUGCUGUUCCUGAAUUAGGAAACAAGGGACUGGUGACCUGCACUGUCACCCCCUCUGUGGUGCUCAGAUGCAAUGAAAUUGUGAGGCAACAAAUCUAUGGCUAGGUAAAGAGUCAACUCCAUUUCAGCAAAUGUUUCAGAUGUUCCUUCUUGCCUAGUAAUGUUCUAGCUUUACCCCAGCCUUAAUCUUUUAAAAUGUAUAUUUUUCUUGGUGUUGAUUUUAAAAUAAUUCAUAUGUAUUUAUUACACUGGGUUUGUUGCAGUAAGCCACCUCGAAUGUUGCUGUAGAAUUAAAGUAAGCAAAUAAAUUUGUGGUUCUCCAUGGA